AAGCAGCUGUGGUAUUUUAACGAGGCUGAGAAAAAGUUGAGGUCGAAUCUCGGUAACAGAAGAGCAGAACGAGUUGUGUCGAAUGCUGUAUACUUGUUCUGCAUAGGCAGUAAUGAUUACUCGACCGAUUCUACGAAUUCCAGCAUAUUUAAGUCGUCUACCCCAGAAGGUUAUGUAGCCAUGGUGGUUGGCAAUAUUACAACUGUUUUUAAGGAAAUAUACAAGAAAGGUGGGAGAAAAUUUGCCACUUAUGAAUGUUCCGGCUAUAGGUUGUAUUCCAGCCUUUAGAGCUCUUAACGUGGCUGCUGGAGGAAAUGGAGAGUGUGAAGAAGAGUAUGUAGCUUUGCCCAAGUUGCACAACGCCUUGCUUUCCCGGAACUUGAGCAGCUGCAGAAGCAGCUCAAAGGUUUCAAGUAUUCUAUUUUGACUUCUUCACCGUUCUCAAUGAAAUAAUUGACAAUCCAUCAAAAUUUGGUUUGGAGGAAGCCAAGACUGGAUGCUGUGGAGGCGGUCCUUACAGAGGAGAUCAUAGCUGUGGAGGGAAGACGGCAAUAAAAAAGUACGACUUAUGCGAUAAUCCCCAAGACUAUCUGUUCUUUGACUCCACUCAUCCGACCCAAGCGGCCAACGAGCAGUUCGCGAAGCUCAUGUGGUCCGGAUCCACCAACCUUACAGGGCCUUACAAUAUCAAGUCACUUUUUCAGCUUUCUUAUUGAAGUUUAUGAUUCUUAAUGUCUGUUUUUUCACUUUAAGAAUAACAAAAAGCACAUGUUCUAUUUGUUCUUUUGCCAAAAAGUGUGUAUACAUGUGUUUGUUUCAUCAUAUUGUUUCACAAAUAGUUUGAAAUAAGCGUGUUUGACUAGAUGAAA